rnacentral:rRNA from 1 species
GACGAACGCUGGCGGCGUGCUUAACACAUGCAAGUCGAACGAAGUGGCGCACGGGUGAGUAACGCGUAAUCAACCUGCCCUUCAGAGGGGGACAACAGUUGGCAACGACUGCUAAUACCGCAUACUGUAGGAGGGGAUUGCGUUUGAUUAGCUAGUUGGCGGGGUAACGGCCCACCAAGGCGAUGAUCAGUAGCCGGGUCGGGGGGGUGAACGGCCAAAAUUGGACUGAGACACGGCCCCAGCUCCUACGGGAGGCAGCAGUGGGGAAACUUCCGCAAUGGACGAAAGUCUGACGGAGCAACGCCGCGGUGGUGAUGACAGCCUUCGGGGUGUAAAGCUCUGUUAAGCGGGACGCGGUACCGGAAUAGAAAGCCACGGCUAACUACGUGCCAGCAGCCGCGGUAAUAC